GGGUGUAGCUCAGUGGUAGAGCACGUGCUUAGCAUGCACAAGGUCCUGGGUUCAAUCCCCAGUACCUCCA
rnacentral:tRNA from 1 species